AAUCAACGCUGGCGGCGUGUCUAACACAUGCAAGUCGAACGCGAAAGCCCUUUCGGGGGUAAGUAGAGUGGCGUCCGGGUGAGUAACACGUAGGUAAUCUACCUUCGGGUGGGGAAUAACUCGCCGAAAGGCGAGCUAAUACCGCAUAAUGCAGCGGCACCUAAUGGUGAUUAGUUGUUAAAGCGGGGGAUCGUAAGACCUCGCGCCUGAAGAGGAGCCUGCGGCAGAUUAGCUAGNGGUGAGGUAAUGGCUCACCAAGGCUUCGAUCUGUAGCUGGUCUGAGAGGACGGCCAGCCACACUGGCACUGACACACGGGCCAGACUCCUACGGGAGGCAGCAGUGGGGAAUUUUGGGCAAUGGGCGCAAGCCUGACCCAGCAACGCCGCGUGAGGGAGGAAAUCCUUCGGGAUGUAAACCUCACAAGCAAGGGAAGAGAGCUCAGGACCAAAUAAGUCCUGAGUCCGACGGUACCUUGCGUAAGCCACGGCUAACUACGUGCCA
rnacentral:rRNA from 1 species